rnacentral:lncRNA from 1 species
CUGAGACUUACUCAGAGCAUUAUCCUGUGAUAAUAGGAAUCUCACUUUGCGACAUCGCUUCUUAUCCUCCCGAGUCUCUUAUCUCUUGCUUGAUCCACCUCUACCUGAAGCUCCAUCUCGCUCUGUGCUCCACCUGGCUCCUGAAGCUCUACCUCGCAUUGGGCUCCCCACUAGGUAAUAAUAUCCUCUUCUUUCUUUCUU